UACGUAGGAGACGAGCGUUGUCCGGAAUCACUGGGCGUAAAGGGCGCGUAGGCGGCUUGAUAAGCGUGCGGUGAAAGCCCGGGGCUCAACCCCGGGUCGGCCGUGCGAACUGUCGAGCUGGAGCACUGUAGAGGCAGGUGGAAUUCCGGGUGUAGCGGUGGAAUGCGUAGAGAUCCGGAAGAACACCGGUGGCGAAGGCGGCCUGCUGGGCAGUGGCUGACGCUGAGGCGCGACAGCGUGGGGAGCAAACAGG
rnacentral:rRNA from 1 species